rnacentral:rRNA from 1 species
UACGUAGGGAGCAAGCGUUGUUCGGAUUUACUGGGCGUAAAGGGCGCGUAGGCGGCAUAUUAAGUCAUCUGUGAAAUCUCCGAGCUUAACUCGGAACUGUCAGCUGAUACUGAUGUGCUAGAGUGCGGAAGGGGCAAUCGGAAUUCUUGGUGUAGCGGUGAAAUGCGUAGAUAUCAGGAGGAACACCAAUUGCGAAGGCAGCUCGCUGGGACGUUACUGACGCUGAGGAGCGAAAGCGUGGGUAGCAAACAGG